GCACUAGGGGUGCCAGAUCAGCAUUUGCUGAGUGGCUGAGAUCACACCCUCCGAACCUGAUACGGGUUAUACCGGCGCAGGGAAGUGAAUAA
rnacentral:ncRNA from 1 species